AUUGAACGCUGGCGGAAUGCUUUACACAUGCAAGUCGAACGGUAGAGGGGGCAACCCCUUGAGAGUGGCGAACGGGUGAGUAAUAUAUCGGAACGUGCCCAGUCGUGGGGAUAACGUAGCGAAAGUUACGCUAAUACCGCAUACGAUCUAAGGAUGAAAGCGGGGGAUCGCAAGACCUCGCGCGAUUGGAGCGGCCGAUAUCAGAUUAGGUAGUUGGUGAGGUAAAAGCUCACCAAGCCGACGAUCUGUAGCUGGUUUGAGAGAACGACCAGCCACACUGGGACUGAGACACGGCCCAGACUCCUACGGGAGGCAGCAGUGGGGAAUUUUGGACAAUGGGCGAAAGCCUGAUCCAGCAAUGCCGCGUGCAGGAAGAAGG
rnacentral:rRNA from 1 species